rnacentral:rRNA from 1 species
UACGUAGGAGGCGAGCGUUGUCCGGAGUUACUGGGCGUAAAGCGCACGCAGGCGGUCCGCUAAGUCUCGAGUGACAGUCACCGGCUUAACUGGUGAAGUGUUCGGGAAACUGACGGACUUGAGGGCUUCAGAGGGACAUGGAAUUCCGGGUGGAGUGGUGAAAUGCGUAGAUAUCCGGAGGAACACCAAAGGCGAAGGCAAUGUCCUGGGAAGCAUCUGACGCUCAGGUGCGAAAGCUAGGGGAGCGAACGGG